UUUAUGGAGAGUUUGAUCCUGGCUCAGGAUGAACGCUGGCGGCGUGCCUAAUACAUGCAAGUCGAGCGAACGGACGAGAAGCUUGCUUCUCUGAUGUUAGCGGCGGACGGGUGAGUAACACGUGGAUAACCUACCUAUAAGACUGGGAUAACUUCGGGAAACCGGAGCUAAUACCGGAUAAUAUUUUGAACCGCAUGGUUCAAAAGUGAAAGACGGUCUUGCUGUCACUUAUAGAUGGAUCCGCGCUGCAUUAGCUAGUUGGUAAGGUAACGGCUUACCAAGGCAACGAUGCAUAGCCGACCUGAGAGGGUGAUCGGCCACACUGGAACUGAGACACGGUCCAGACUCCUACGGGAGGCAGC
rnacentral:rRNA from 2 species